CAGCUAGGCUUUUCUUUCAAAGUCAUGCUUUGCAAGAAGUGGUAAGAGGCCAAGGCAGUAGAUGUUCACAUAGAGGUUUUUAGUUAGGGAGGGUGGGGAAGAAAGAUUAUCCUUUGCCCUGCGUUUUCUAAGCAGAAAGAGCAUAACAACAGCCACUAAAGGUGAGGCUUCAUUUUUUUCUUCUUUCUGUGUCUUGGUGAAAAUCCUUAAUUUCAAACAUUAAAUGCUAUUGUCAUGAGUGAAGAUCUUGCUUGAACUAUAAAGCAGAGGCCUUAGGAGUCAAAAAUUGUGGUUGUGAACUCUUUGGAUUAGGUGGAUUUCAUAUAAACUCAUCUGGGGUCAGCAACACAGGAGAGGAAGCAUUCUCCUGGACAGCAAAGUCCAGUGUUGCCCGCAAACUGGUCAGUUCCUCUUUAAAACCAGCUGAGUUUUAUGUUUGCAUUUGUUUUUAUUGGCCAGCUCCUCUUUUCCCUGGCUCUGAUGGUUGGAAACCUUCAUAUUUCCCAUGCUGUUUAUUCACGUCCAGGUUAUCUUCAUUUUAUUCCUGUCCUUGAGCUUAAAUAGCACCUCUCCUCUCGGGUAUUUUUCACUGCCUCCCUCGUCCUUGAUCUAUUUAUAGAGAGCAAUUGUAUCCCCUUUCAGCUGAUGUUUUGCAAGGCUGAAGAACUGGAGCUGUGCUGGUGCCCUGGUGUUCCCUGGGACACCCUUGCAUCCCUCCCGCAGAGGAAACGUGCCGCCAGCCUGCACCAUCGGUGCUGCUCCCUUGAUGGAUGUGCACUCUCACUUGCAGCAGGUUUACCACACCGAAUUCAUUGCUAAAUGGAGGAAGCUAAGGCUGGAUGUGAUCCUUUGUCCCGUGCUGGGGCCAGCCUUUAACCACACUGUGCUGGGAAGCUAUUUGGUAAUCUUCACCGAGGUCUGGAUGCAUCCAUGGUGAUGUCUGUGGGCAGAGCCAGAGCAAGAUAUUUUGGUUUCUUGAACAUUCCCCAAACCAUGUGCAGUACUUGGCCUUCCGUCUGGGAAGAAAGCAGAGGAGAGGUCUGUGGGUGUGUCUUCUCAUGCCCCCACCUCAUCUGAGCUGCAGGUGUUUGGCUUAUUAUGGGGCAGCAAUUAGUGGAACGUCUGUCCCAGUCAUUCAUGGCUGAGACCUCCUGUACCACUUACACAAUGUCUUAGACUUCCCUGCUGGUGUGGUGCCGGUCAGCAUGGUCACAAGAGCCGACAGAGAAGAACUGAAGCACUGAGGGCACUAGGGAGAACCUUGGGACAAGAGGCUGAAAGAGGCUGUGGAAGGAGCCGUGAGGCUGCUGGUGGCUGUCCAACGCGUGGCUCUGCCAUGGCAGGAGGAGCUGUGCCUUUGCUUUGUGAAGGAGGUGGAGACACUUGCCCACAGCAUGAAGAGAAAUGUGUGAUUUCUGGGAACCUGCCUUCGCUUUGAUGACUUUUAAGUCCCUGAAGCACAAAGCAAACAGUGGGCAGGAGCAGGUGUUUGCGGGAGAGUGUAAGCCGGUAAGUACAAGACUCCCUCUCUGGCUGUGCCAUCGGUCUUAGUCGCUGCCAGGAAAGAUCUUUUUUGUGAGCUUCUUGGGCCCCUUCCUGAGCUCGCUCACUCUCCGGAUCUCCUCACCAUCCAGUGGCGGUGGGCUCUGCAGUUUAAUGGUGCAGUGAGUAGUGGAAAGCUUAAUUUUCUUUCAGCAUAAGUGGUGAGGAAUGGUAACCGGUUUGUCUUCACUCCUGUUCCUCAUCGUUUCUUCCAGUUAAGCAAUGGGAAAAGAAGGCUGGGGGGUUUUUUAUUGCCUAUAAGCACUUGCAGGGAAAACUGAAUUUAAGCCUUUCUGUGGUUACAUGUAGAUGCACUGUUCGCGCUGUUUAGUUCCCACCUCACCGUGACCACUGUGUGCUGUUUUGUGACCCAUCCUUCACUCUCAAGGGCAGAAGAAGAUGCUGGAAAGGAAGGUGGGAGUGAUGGAGGAGACUAAAAUGCUUUGAAUAAGCAAGCAUGCCUUGGAACAAGGCACAGUGUUAGCGAAGAUCCAUGCCUUCUCCAAGCCUGCACAUCUCUCCGGGCACUGGGGCUGGAGGCAGCAUUUCUGCAACAGGAGGAGAGGGCUCUUGUGAUUUAUCUGUCUCCCUGGGGCUGCGCAGGGAUGCUGUGGUCAUCCAGCCACCUCGCGUGGUCACAAGCAGGUCUGAGACACACGGCGGGUCCUGGCUGCUCAGCCUGGCUCCCCAUCCUCGGUUCGGCACUGAGCAGGGAGGGGGUUCGCGGCACAGCCCUGUUCCCAGAGGAUGCCCUGGCUCUGCAGGAGUGCUGCUGGGCAGCGCCAGCACCGGGCUUCUCCCUGAUGGGGGUCUGCCAAGUGAGCAUGGCUAUCUCAGGCCAGGAGCAAAGGAUUUGUAGCCAACCUCCCACAGGGAAGAUUGGAGCUCGCUAUUAAAACAGGUAACCUGCCCAGGCAGUAUUCCUGUCUAGAUCUGGGCACACGCAGACCUUGUUUUGCAAGGAAAGGGCAGUGACAUUUGCUCAUGUACCCCCUUAUAUCUUUGCAAGGCUGAAUGAAGUGAGAGAGUCCCAUUUCUAAAAGGAAUUUCCCCAUACAUGUUUGUGCUCUACAUUCCAGCUGUUCUUUGUGGGUUGCUCUGGAACGGAUUUACUGCUCCUCCCGCCUCCAGCCAGUCAUUAGGUCUCAGGAUCCUGCAGCAUUACCUCCUGCACCCAGCACCCAAAGGGAAGUUCUCACCAUGAUCCAGCAGAUACCGAAGCGGCGUGCGUGGGUGCUCUCAGCCCUGGCCUGCAGCUCAGCCAAAGCACUCCUGGCACUGGAGUGGAUGAGGUGGAGACACGUCCAGAAGGUGGACGAGGCGUGGGGGAAACAAGAUACAGGUUUGGACCAGAUGUAGGAGUCUGUUCAGGAAUUUAAAGAGCAAGUGCCUCGGCUUGGCAGAGAGCAAAGCACCUUCCUGAGUAAAACUCAGGGUCCUUCUCGAGACAGAUUGUCCAUGAUGUGAGUUGGCAUUGCUGCAUGAAUGUGGGGGAAAAGUGGGGAGGGUGAUGCUGAGAGACUCAAGGAGGGAAAGGCCUUUAGUAGGGCAUAACUUCAGGUUUGCAGAAGACUUCUUCCUCCAGACCUCCUCCGGGCUGGAGAGAGGACGUCGGCUCCUUCCCAAACCCACCAGCCCAGUGCUACUGGGUUUCAGACCCUUCCGUGGCUCCUUGACCGUAAGCUGUUGGCUCAGGCUCUUCAGCCCUUGCAGACCAGCACUGUAUGUUUGCAGAGCGCUUGUGCAGCCACCUGGCACCGGCCAAAGUCCCAGGCUUUGGUCUAUCUGGGAGAAUUAGGUAGCAAUGCUGCUUGGGCCAGAAGGGCUUUGUUUCUACUAGUUUCUCUCACUUCCAGCACCGUAUCCUGGCUGCAGUCUUUGCUUUGAUCAUUUUUCCUCAUUCCUCCUGAUUUUAAUAAGAAUUUAAAUCUUCUCUCCUCAACCCCCAUUUCAUUCUGUGGCCAGAUAAAUAAGUGAGCAAGGUUGAGAGGUGGAGUCAUCAGACAAUCCAGCUUUUGUGUUUGGUUUUACUUUAUUUUGCAGGGUUGGUUUGGGUUUUUUUUUCAGUUUGCAGUUUAGACUUUGUAUAGCCACAGCAUCAGGAGCAAAUAAAACUCUCGAGAAGAACUGAUAUCAGCAGAACAUGAGCUGUUAGGACCGGUCAGUUGGCCUUUUACAGAUCCAAAGCAAACAGAGCUCCCUGAUGUAACAGAAAGUGGCAGGGGGCAUUAGAGACAUGGACAUCCCCAGGAUCCCAGGCACUCAUCUCAAGCAUGUUUCAAGGGAGGAGGUAGUUGAAGUAGCUAAAAGCAAGUGUUUAAAAAAAUAGGUGAAAUGAAACACCUUGACAUAGCAAGGCUCACCCCGGGAAGCACAAAAAUGCAAGAAUUAGGGUUGGUACAUCUUUCACUCUGAAACAGCUGUUAGCUGUGAAAAGUGUCAUCCCU